ensembl:lncRNA
AUGACGACAGCCUCAGCACCAAGGCCCGUCUGCCCCAGCGCCUUCUGGCCCACCUCUGUGUAUCAUGGCUCCUGGAUGAAUCCUCUCCUCCUUGUUCCAACGCCGCCUCGGUUGGGUCCAGGCUGCCUGCUGAAGGCCACUCCUGGCUCAGCUCUGCCUCUGGCCGCUGCUCCUGCAGCCCAGGAGCCUCUCCAGCCACACCCUGGCCUGGAGGGCAGCCCCCUUUCUGCCUCGAGCCUUUGGAUCGGGUAUUUCCUCUCGGAAUUCCCCAUUUUUCAUCCGUGCAAAUCUCAGCUCCAAUGUCACUUGCUCCAUGACACUCCAUGGAUCCUUAAGGGAAACUUAGACUGCGUUGGGCGCCCUGUGUCCCUCCAUGCACCUGGCGACACCUGCACUGUCCUCUCUGCGCAUCUCCGUGGUUAGGUGGAGACUGCUGCCCGAGCCUGGGUGCUAGCUGCCCGGAGGCACGGGGCCUUCGCGUUGCUCCCCCGUACCCGGCCCGUGGCAGGGGUUCCAUGGACGUUGGCUCACUCUGUCCCUGAGGUCCCUGCAUCCACACACUCAGCCCUCAGGGUCCAGGAAGCCAAAGCACUCACCCUGAGCAGGGCCUCGGGAGGAGGCGGCAUCUCGGUCCUUUCUCUGGCUCCAGGGACCCCAAGAGAAGCAGGCCAGCAGCCGCGGGAGGCCCGGCCUCUCCCCUGCUCCUUCUGCUAGGAAAAACACAAAACCCCAGAGGCAGAUGGUCAAGCGGUUCGUGCUUCCGAAGUCAGAUUUUCUGCGCUGCCACCCCAGAGCCUCCACUGCCAGCCGCCUAGAUUCAAUGGACCGGUUACCUCGCUCCGUCCUUCCCAGUGCCCUGUGAUGGAGUGACUGACGGGGAAACCACAGCGAUGGAUGCAAAGGACAUGGGAAGGAUAUGAGAUUAAUUACAAGCACCUGGCACCAAAGAACACACUCAUAGGGCAGAGAUCGCUCCCUGAUUUUGUCUCUUAACAGGAAGAUUUUUUUUUAAUUUAUUUGACAGAUAGAGUUACAGACAGUGAGAGAGAGACAGAGAGAAAGGUCUUCCUUCUGUUGGUUCACUCCCCAAUGGCUGCUAUGACUGGCGUGCUAUGCCGAUCCGAAGCCAGGAGCCAGGUGCUUCUUCCAGGUCUCUCACGCGGGUGCAGGGGCCCAAGGACCUGGGCCAUGCUCCACUGCCCUCCCGGGCCACAGCAGAGAGCUGGACUGGAAGAGGAGCAACCGGGACAGAAUCCGGUGCCCCAACCAGGACUAGAACCCAGCACCCAUAUGGGAUGCCGGUGCCACAGGCAGAGAUUAACCAAGUGAGCCAGGGCACUGACCCCCAACAGGGAUAGAUUUUGCACAAUAACAAUUUGGAAUAACAUUGACUCUAGUUUCCUUAUGAAGAUCAGAAUAUGAUUUCAGUCAUCUAGAGCUAGUCUGAGAGCCACGACUAUCUAAAGUCAAGCCAAGGGAGCUGCAUUUUUUUUUAAGGACUUAUUUGAUUAUUGGAAAGGCAGAGUUCGAGAGAGAGAGAGAUAGAGAGAGACCUUCCAUCCACUGGUUCACUCCCCAAAUGGCCGCAAUGGCCAGGGCAAAGCCAGGAGCCAGGAGCUUCCUCUGGGUCUCCCACGUGGGUGCAGGGGCCCAAGCACUUGGUCCAUCUUCUGCUGCUUUCCCAGGCGCUGGAUCAGAAGUGGAGCAGCCAGGAUGAGAACUGGUGCCUCUGUGGGAUGCCAGCAUUGCAGGCCACAGCUUUAACCCGUUACACCAUAGCACCAGCCCCAGGAACUGUGUGUUUAAAAAAAUCUGUCUCUCAAAUAACUAGAUAACUUUUUUUUUUUUAAUGAAAAGAGGGUGGCCAUGUGGAGCAGGAGCGGCCUGCAUGCUAUGGUGAAGUGCCGGGUUUCAGCCCCAGCUACAGCGCUUGCAGCCCAGCCUCUUGUUAGUGCUCACCCUGGGAGGCAGCGGAUGAUGGCUCAAGUAUCGGGGUCUCUGCCUUCCACAUAGGAGACCAAGAUCAGAUUCUGGGCUCCCAGCUUCGGCCUGGCGCAGCCCUGGCCAUUGUGGGCAUCUGGGGAGUAAACCAGCAAAUGGAAGAUCCUUCUCUGUCUGUCUCUGUCAAAUUGCCUUUCAAAUAGAAUAAAAAUAAACAUACACACA